GGCUGAGAGAUCAGCUGUUCCCUUCGGGGACAGAAUGACAGGUGGUGCAUGGUUGUCGUCAGCUCGUGUCGUGAGAUGUUGGGUUAAGUCCCGCAACGAGCGCAACCCUUAUGAUCAGUUGCCAGCAUUCAGUUGGGCACUCUGGUCAGACUGCCGGUGACAAACCGGAGGAAGGCGGGAUGACGUCAAAUCAUCAUGCCCCUUAUGACCUGGGCUACACACGUGCUACAAUGGGUGGUACAACGAGCAGCGAGACCGCGAGGUCAAGCGAAUCUCUAAAAACCAUCCUCAGUUCGGAUUGCAGGCUGCAACUCGCCUGCAUGAAGCUGGAAUCGCUAGUAAUCGCGGAUCAGCACGCCGCGGUGAAUACGUUCCCGGGUCUUGUACACACCGA
rnacentral:rRNA from 1 species